CAUCACAGGUUACAGAGAGUCAGCUACUGUUGUGUUAUAGUACAUUUUUCGCAUUUUGUUCUAGUAAACACACAAGCUGAAGUCCGGUUCCACAUACAAACAGCUGAUUGGAUUCCUGAAGAUGCGCGACAAAAGAUUAUUUCUCAGAUCGCCUCACCAUUACCUACUGUCGAAGCAGUGGCCCUGGAGGCCAGAAUGUUAAUAAAGUAAACACACAAGCUGAAGUCCGGUUUCACAUACAAACAGCUGAU